UACGAAGGGUGCAAACGUUGCUCGGAAUUAUUGGGCGUAAAGCGCACGUGAGGCGGCUUUUCAAGUCCCAUGUGAAAGCCCACGGCUUAACCGUGGAAGUGCAUGGGAAACUGGAAAGCUUGAGUACUUAAGAGGAUCGCGGAAUUCCCGGUGUAGAGGUGAAAUUCGUAGAUAUCGGGAGGAACACCAGUGGCGAAGGCGG
rnacentral:rRNA from 1 species